AAGGAUAAAUAAUGUGUGGCUUUUUUUGCUUGGAAACUGGCCAGCCAUGUCAACUCAGAAGAAAGUAAGAAAAAAAAUACAGACCUUGCAACUUUGUGCUUAUUAUUGUUGUUGUUCUAGCCAUUUCUGUGUCCACUUGUCCACUUAUCCAUUUGCUGAGCAUAUCCCAAACUCCCUCAUGCCUCUUUUGGAGGUGAACUGUGAAGUAAACUAGGUCACUUGGAGUUGAAAACAAAGAAAGGAGAGAAGAAGAAGAAGCUUUCUGCUGGCUUUUGAGGUCUUUGAAUUUUAAGCAUCUUUUGCUGUGGAAGGAAAAGUAUGUUCCCCUGCUAAAGGGUCUUCUGACAUCAGGGAGCUGGUUGGGAAGGUUUUAAGCUCCUGAGUUACCCCUGACAGAGGAGACCUUGGGCUGUGUGGACCUUUGGUCUUCUCUGCAAGCAUCUCAGAUAAUUUUCAGAUUGGCAGCACACAGAAGCAAAACCCGUGUAAAAAGCUGAAGUAAAACGCCCAGCUCGCCACAUGACACAUGCUUGUACUACACUGUGACUGGCAGGUAAGG